UACGUAGGUGGCAAGCGUUGUCCGGAUUUACUGGGCGUAAAGAGCGCGCAGGCGGUUGAUUAAGUCGAAAUGUGAAAGCCCCCGGCUCAACUGGGGAGGGUCAUUCGAUACUGAUCGACUUUGAAGGCAGGAGAGGGAAGUGGAAUUCCGGGUGUAGUGGUGAAAUGCGUAGAUAUCCGGAGGAACACCAGUGGCGAAGGCGACUUCCUGGCCUGUUCUUGACGCUGAGGCGGCGAAAGCUGGGGGAGCAAACGGG
rnacentral:rRNA from 1 species